AGUGGCGGACGGGUGAGUAACGCGAUAAUCUGCCUUGGGGUCGGGGACAACCACUGGAAACGGUGGCUAAUACCGGAUAAGCCGAUUGGUGAAAGAUUUAUUGCCCGAAGAGGAGCUCGCGUCUGAUUAGCUAGUUGGUGAGGUAAGAGCUCACCAAGGCAGCGAUCAGUAGCUGGUCUGAGAGGACGAUCAGCCACACUGGGACUGAGACACGGCCCAGACUCCUACGGGAGGCAGCAGUGGGGAAUUUUCCGCAAUGGGCGAAAGCCUGACGGAGCAAGACCGCGUGAGGGAGGAAGGCUCUUGGGUUGUAAACCUUUUUCUCAGGGAAGAAGCUCUGACGGUACCUGAGGAAUCAGCCUCGGCUAACUCCGUGCCAGCAGCCGCGGUAAUACGGAGGAGGCAAGCGUUAUCCGGAAUUAUUGGGCGUAAAGCGUCCGCAGGUGGCGAUUCAAGUCUGCUGUCAAAGCACGGGGCUUAACUCCGUAAAGGCAGUGGAAACUGAAUAGCUAGAGUGCCGUAGGGGUAGAGGGAAUUCCCGGUGUAGCGGUGAAAUGCGUAGAGAUCGGGAAGAACAUCGGUGGCGAAAGCGCUCUACUGCACGGCAACUGACACUCAGGGACGAAAGCUAGGGGAGCGAAUGGGAUUAGAUACCCC
rnacentral:rRNA from 1 species